rnacentral:rRNA from 1 species
GACGAACGCUGGCGGCGUGCCUAAUACAUGCAAGUCGAGCGAGUCUGCCUUGAAGAUCGGAGUGCUUGCACUCUGUGAAACAAGAUACAGGCUAGCGGCGGACGGGUGAGUAACACGUGGGUAACCUGCCCAAGAGAUCGGGAUAACACCUGGAAACAGAUGCUAAUACCGGAUAACAACAGAUGAUGCCUAUCAACUGUUUAAAAGGUGGUUCUGCUAUCACUCUUGGAUGGACCUGCGGUGCAUUAGCUAGUUGGUAGGGUAACGGCCUACCAAGGCGAUGAUGCAUAGCCGAGUUGAGAGACUGAUCGGCCACAUUGGGACUGAGACACGGCCCAAACUCCUACGGGAGGCAGCAGUAGGGAAUCUUCCACAAUGGACGCAAGUCUGAUGGAGCAACGCCGCGUGAGUGAAGAAGGGUUUCGGCUCGUAAAGCUCUGUUGUUGGUGAAGAAGGACAGGGGUAGUAACUGACCUUUGUUUGACGGUAAUCAAUUAGAAAGUCACGGCUAACUAAGUG